rnacentral:lncRNA from 1 species
AGAGCGGGAGGAGGUGGCGGCCUUGGGAAGAUGCUGGAGACCUAGGCUCGCCACGCCAGGCCCGACCUGAGUAGUGAGUGGAGAAAGAGGGUGGGAGGCGAGGUCGAUGUAUGUGACCGGAGCGGACCGUGCAGAUUGCGAGCCGGCCUAAAAGGGCUCCUUCUCCUACCAAACGAAAGGACCGCUCUGAUGAGAAGUCCAAGGAUCGAUCUAAAGAUAAAGGGACCACUAAAGAGUCCAGUGAGAAGGAUCGUGGCAGAGAUAAGACCCGGAAGAGACGCAGUGCUUCAAGCGGAAGCAGCAGCACCAGGUCCAGGUCCAGCUCAACCUCCAGCUCGGGCUCCAGCACCAGCACGGGCUCGAGCAGUGGCUCUAGCUCGUCUUCUGCGUCCAGCCGCUCAGGAAGCUCCAGCACAUCCCGGAGCUCCAGUUCCAGCAGCUCCUCCGGCUCCCCAAGCCCUUCUCGGCGCAGACAUGACAACAGGCGGCGUUCCCGCUCCAAAUCCAAACCACCUAAAAGAGAUGAAAAAGAGAGGAAAAGGCGGAGCCCUUCACCUAAACCCACCAAAGUGCACAUUGGGAGGCUCACCAGGAAUGUGACCAAGGAUCAUAUCAUGGAAAUAUUUUCUACUUACGGGAAAAUUAAAAUGAUUGACAUGCCUGUGGAAAGGAUGCAUCCUCAUCUAUCCAAAGGCUAUGCGUACGUGGAAUUCGAGAAUCCGGAUGAAGCAGAGA